AUGCUACCGCGCUGUUGUUGGUUUCGCAGUCCGGGCGGGACCAUCUUCGUCAUCAUCACCGCGGUGUCGCGCAUUCUCUCCGGUAGCGCUCGGGGGCUCGACACCGACACGCCCCUGGAGCGGCCGCGAGGGGUGGCGCGUCGUCGCCGUCGGCCGCGCCUUCUUCACCACAACGCUGGCCGUCCAUCCGCGCGCUCCGCGCACGGGGCCUCGCUUCGGUCGGCCGUGUCCAUCUACGCGCCGCUCGCGUCUGCUCCCCUCCAUGUUGCGCCUUGCUCCGGCCAAAACACGCUUUGCUCCUUCACAUACCAUCUAUGCAAGCUAGCUAGAUGCAAGUCAAACUCUAGUCGUACAUCUCCCAAAUACUAG
rnacentral:rRNA from 1 species